CCCUGCGAAGUUGGUGGUGAUUGUGGUGGUGGAGCUAAUGACAUGUGUGCAGAAACUCUUCUGAAUGGGACUUCCCUGAUCCUGUUUUUACCUGAUCUUCAUGCUCAAUAGAAAAAGCCUCAGCUUUGGAAUCAGCUUCCCAGUGAACACCGAGAGUUGAGUUUAGCAACUGUUUGGACUGGCCAUGUAACAGGGCCGUCCAGGUAGCAUGGCAUGGUACUGGAACACUAUGUCUUCUCUCUGACCUCUCGGAAUAUCUCUGUGAUUCAAUGUGUUGGCCCAUUGGAGGCCCUGGCCAGGAAUAUUUAAGGAUUCCCAUUGUUUCACACUCUUGACAGCACUUGGUAUUGUCAGACUUCAACACAA
rnacentral:lncRNA from 10 species